GUUUUCAACAAACUAUGCCCAUUAAAGAUAUUCUCAACAAUUUUUUAGUUUUCAGUUAAAUUGUGGUUUUGAAACCUGGAGAAAUACAGAUUCGACAGUAUAUUACCCUAUAAAGUGAAAAGAACUACCCUGUAGGUAUGCAACCAGUGUAACCAAACUACACAAUGUACAAUUUUUUUUACAGGAAUUGUAAAAUAAAUAAA